rnacentral:misc_RNA from 1 species
GUAAUAAUUUUUAUUUAACAAUACCUUAAUAACUACUGUAUAUGGGGUCGCCGGCCCCGGCUUUGACACCGAGCGGUAGCGGUUCUCCCGCUUCCAAAAACCGGCAACUUGAACAUAUUGGCCGCAAAGGGCAUUUACUAAUGAUCCUUCCGCAGGUUCACCUACGGAAA